rfam:Myotis brandtii contig309603, whole genome shotgun sequence.
GGCGGUUCUUGGGUAAUGCACCUCAGAAUCAGGCUCCCUCCUCUCUGGUUCCGGGUGCAUCACCCAAGAACCACA